rnacentral:rRNA from 1 species
GCAGCCGCCGCGGGAAUACGGAGGGGGCUAGCGUUGUUCGGAAUUACUGGGCGUAAAGCGCACGUAGGCGGCUUGGUAAGUUAGAGGUGAAAGCCCGGAGCUCAACUCCGGAAUUGCCUUAGACUGCCGAGCUAGUAGGUGAGAGAGGUAAGUGGAAUUCCGAGUGUAGAGGUGAAAUUCGUAGAUAUUCGGAAGAACACCAGUGGCGAAGGCGGCUUACUGGCUCAUUCUAGACGCUGAGGUGCGAAAGCGUGGGGAGCAAACAGGAUUAGAUACCCCCGUAGUCCCUGUCUCUUAUACAC